GGAGGCUCGUCCAUAUAUGCUUAUAAUCAUAUUGCUUCUUGGAUUUGUUGCUGCGUUGGGUCCAAGAACUUGCCAUGGCAGCAUCUACAAGACGGAGCUUGCAAAAAUGUCCUUGCAGAAGGUUGCCAAAGCUGAUGGUUUUAGAAGGCCUCCUGUAACUCUGAUCCCUCCUCAACUCAACUCCAGGGGUCAUCAAGGGGGGCCACCAAGGGCACCACCACUUCUUAGCUAGGCUGAAAGCACCCAUUAAUUGCCUUAUGUUCUCUC
rnacentral:misc_RNA from 1 species